rnacentral:rRNA from 1 species
AUUGAACGCUGGCGGCAGGCCUAACACCUGCAAGUCGAACGAGUGGCGGACGGGUGAGUAAUGUCUGGGAAACUGCCCGAUGGAGGGGGAUAACUACUGUAAACGGUAGCUAAUACCGCAUACCAUCGGAUGUGCCCCGAUGGGAUUAGCUAGUAGGUGGGGUAAUGGCUCACCUAGGCGACGAUCCCUAGCUGGUCUGAGAGGAUGAGCAGCCACACGGGAACGGAGACACGGCCCAGACUCCUACGGGAGGCAGCAGUGGGGAAUAUUGCACAAUGGGCGCAAGCCUGAUGCAGCCAUGCCGCGUGUAUGAAGAAGGCCGUAGGGUUGUAAAGUACUUUCAGCGGGGAGGCGUUACUCGCAGAAGAAGCACCGGCUAACUCCGUGCCAGCAGCCGCGGUAAUAC